ACACAUAUGACAUACUGUCUGGCGAUCAUGGUUUCAGAAAGGUAAGAAGAAUGGAAAGUAAAGAAACUGCAUUGAUAUUCAUGCAUGAAGAAUAUAAAAUCCUCAAGCGCUACAAAAAUAAUAGAAGUUCUUUCAAGAGGGCCAUCUCCUUUCUCUAAAGCACAAUGUUGUGAGCUACAAGAUUCAGCAGCUUAAGUUUUUGCCUAUAAACCGUGAAACUCAACAAUAUUAUGUUUGGAUUAUUGAUAUUUAUCUUUUAAUUUCUUUAUUUUCUACACAAAAAAUGACAAAGAGAUAGAAUAAGUUAAUGACUUUUAAUAAGUUUUAUAUGUAUUGAUAUUUUUAUCCCAA